rnacentral:rRNA from 1 species
GUGAGGAAUUUUCCGCAAUGGGCGAAAGCCUGACGGAGCAAUGCCGCGUGAAGGAUGAAGGCCUAUGGGUUGUAAACUUCUUUUCUCAGAAAAGAAUUAUGACGGUAUCUGAGGAAUAAGCAUCGGCUAACUCUGUGCCAGCAGCCGCGGUAAGACAGAGGAUGCAAGCGUUAUCCGGAAUGAUUGGGCGUAAAGCGUCUGUAGGUUGUUUAAAAAGUAUUCUGUCAAAGAUUAGGGCUUAACCCUAGAUAGGCAGAAUAAACUUUUAAGCUAGAGUUUGGUAGAGGCAGAGGGAAUUCCCGGUGGAGCGGUGAAAUGCGUAGAUAUCGGGAGGAACACCAAAGGCGAAGGCACUCUGCUGGGCCAAUACUAACACUGAGAGACGAAAGCGAGGGGAGCAAAUGGGAUUAGAUACCCGGGUAGUUC